GACGGGGGGGGGCAAGUGUUCUUCGGAAUGACUGGGCGUAAAGGGCACGUAGGCGGUGAAUCGGGUUGAAAGUGAAAGUCGCCAAAAAGUGGCGGAAUGCUCUCGAAACCAAUUCACUUGAGUGAGACAGAGGAGAGUGGAAUUUCGUGUGUAGGGGGUGAAAUCCGUAGAUCUACGAAGGAACGCCAAAAGCGAAGGCAGCUCUCUGGGUCCCUACCGACGCUGGGGUGCGAAAGCAUGGGGGAGCGAACAGG
rnacentral:rRNA from 1 species